ACAUACCUGCGAUGCCCGUAUACUCAUGUUGUCUUAAACCUUUGAGUGUUAAUCGGGAGUUCAAUAUCAAGCUGCAGAUAACAUGCCCGCUCCUUAGUGGGACGUUAAAACCGGCUGUGCGAACACCCACCUAGUCGAUCUGGGUGAUUAAGACACUUCGGGUUACGACAGAGCGGGAUGUC
rnacentral:other from 1 species